GGGCCUCGGUGGCGAGGUGGUCGUUCUGGCAAAGGCGCACACUGACUUUGACGUCCAGGCCUUCCGGGUCACCUUUUUUGAUGAAACCAGGAUGGCGUCGUGUGGGCAGGGCAGCGUGCGGCUCUGGCGGCUGCGUGGCGGGGCGCUGCGUUCCUGCCCUGUGGACUUAGGGGAGCACCACACACUGCAGUUCACCGACCUCGCCUUCAAGCAGGCCCAGGACGGCUGCCUGGAGCCGUUGGCUGCCAUGCUCUUCGUGUGCAGCCGCAGCGGCCACAUCUUGGAGAUUGACUGUCAGCGCAUGGUCGUGCGGCAUGCCCGCCGCCUGCUCCCCACACGGACUCCGGGCGGCCCCCACCCGCAGAAGCAGACCUUCAGCUCAGGUAAGAGGGCGCCCGCCACGUGGCGAGGGUGGCAGGGACACCGAGGCACUGACGCCUCCCCGCCCCCAGGCCCCGGCAUUGCCAUCAGCAGCCUCAGCAUCUCCCCGGCCAUGUGUGCUGUGGGCUCUGAGGACGGCUUCCUGCGGCUCUGGCCCCUGGACUUCUCCUCGGUGCUCCUGGAGAGCACGAGGGCCCCGUCAGCUCAGUCUGUGUCAGCCCCGAUGGCCUCCGUGUGCUGUCUGCCACCUCCUCGGGCCACCUGGGCUUCCUGGACACGCUGUCCCGGGUGUACCACAUGCUGGCUCGCUCCCACACCGCCCCGGUGCUGGCCCUCGCCAUGGAGCAGAGGCGGGGACAGCUAGCCACCGUGUCCCAGGACCGCACCGUCCGCAUCUGGGACCUGGCCACCCUGCAGCAGCUAUACGACUUCACAUCAUCAGAGGAGGCCCCGUGCGCUGUCACCUUCCACCCCACAAGGCCAACCUUUUUCUGCGGCUUUAGUAGUGGGGCCGUGCGCUCCUUCAGCUUGGAGGCCGCUGAGGUCCCGGUGGAACACACGUGCCACCGAGGAGCCAUCACCGGCCUGACCGC
rnacentral:sRNA from 1 species